rnacentral:rRNA from 1 species
AAUCAACGCUGGCGGCGUGCCUAACACAUGCAAGUCGCACGAGAAAGGGGAGCAAUCCCUGAGUAAAGUGGCGCACGGGUGAGUAACACGUGAAUCAUCUACCUCCGAGUGGGAAUAACUGAGAGAAAUACUUAGCUAAUACCGCAUAACACUUACGAGUCAAAGCAGCAAUGCGCUUGGAGAGGAGUUCGCGGCCGAUUAGUUAGUUGGC